UGGGGAAUAUUGGACAGUGGGCGCAAGCCUGAUCCAGCCAUGCCGCGUGAGUGAAGAAGGCCCUAGGGUUGUAAAGCUCUUUCAGUGGUGACGAUGAUGACGGUAGCCACAGAAGAAGCCCCGGCUAACUCCGUGCCAGCAGCCGCGGUAAUACGGAGGGGGCAAGCGUUGUUCGGAAUUACUGGGCGUAAAGGGCGCGUAGGCGGUCUGUUGCGUCAGGUGUGAAAGCCCCGGGCUCAACCUGGGAGGUGCACUUGAUACGGGCCGGCUGGAGACCGGGAGAGGAGUGUGGAAUUCCCAGUGUAGAGGUGAAAUUCGUAGAUAUUGGGAAGAACACCGGUGGCGAAGGCGGCACUCUGGCCCGGAUCUGACGCUGAGGCGCGAAAGCGUGGGUAGCGAACAGGAUUAGAUACCCCCGUAGUCC
rnacentral:rRNA from 1 species